AGCGGCGUCGUGGAUUUGGCAUGAUCAAGGCGAUUCGUGGGUUUGAAUCGUGAGUGCUCGAGGAUUUGAGUGGCGUCUGUGGAUUCGGACGUAGGGCAUGGACAACCUGGCGGCGUGCGCGAGAUCCGUAGGAGAUAAAAGAGAGGUUAAGUCCGUAGAGUCAAUAAUCACCUAGUAAUCUUUUAUUCUUAAUGGAUUAUUUUUCGCGUGUUGGUCCUGCAGG
rnacentral:lncRNA from 1 species